GCACCCUAAUCUCCCUCCCUCCGAUCGCCUCUCUUUUACCCCCAAGCAAUGGCAGGCGAAUCAAGUGCAGUCAUGAAGGAAUCAUGUGCAGACCUCAAGGAAACUGCAGAUUUGAAGGAAUACGAGGGGAAAGUCCUAAAGGAUGCCCAUAGGGAAGUAACCAAGUGUGCCGAUGGUUUUCUGAUCGAGUAUACCGGAAUUCUAGCCGACGGCGAAGACGUAACCUGGAUCGCCGCCAAGAAUAUUACUUCAGCUGCACUCCUAGCAAACAGGAGGAGAGUUGUAUUCACCACCCCCACAGUUGUUAUACUGCACAAACCAGAGUGGGAUGUUGAUUCCGCUAGGGUUCAUAGGGAAAUUCAGUUGAAAAAGAUUGCGAAAGAGUAUCGUGCUGACUUGGCUGCAGCUGGUUAUGACCCUCAAGAAUAUGAAGACCUUCUUCCUGAUGAUCUACUAUUUUAAUCAUACUUAGUGGUCAUAUAAUUUGAUGGAACAUACAUCUGAUAAUCAAGCUCCUCACAUCAUCAUCGGAGAGUAAUUGAACAGUAGCAUGGUUGUCUAUUGUUGUUGGAUUUAAUAUACUAGCUGUGUGGUUAGCAGUGUUAUCUAAUGUUUUGUGGGAUUUUCAUAUACUAGUUGUUCAAACUAUUUAGCUCUUUGUGGUUGCUUAGUCGAUUGAUGUUAUGGAUAUUUGUGUCGCUUGUAUCAUCUAGUAUGAGUUCUAAUUACUUUUAUCUGUGUAGAUCAUAAUGAGAAUAGAAAACAAUACAUUUUGUUAA